ensembl:lncRNA
GUGUGUGUGUAGGUGAGUGUGUGUGUAGGUGAGUGUGUGUGUAGGUGUGUGUGUGUGUAGGUGUGUGUGUGUGUGUGUAGGUGUGUGUGUAGGUGUGUGUGUGUGUGUAGGUGUGUGUGUGUGUGUAGGUGUGUGUGUGUGUGUAGGUGUGUGUGUGUGUGUGUAGGUGUGUGUGUGUGUAGGUGUGUGUGUGUGUGUAGGUGUGUGUGUGUGUAGGUGUGUGUGUGUGUAGGUGUGUGUGUGUGUGUAGGUGUGUGUGUGUGUGUAGGUGUGUGUGUGUGUGUAGGUGUGUGUAGGUGUGUAGGUGUGUGUAGGUGUGUGUGUGUGUAGGUGUGUGUGUGUAGGUGUGUGUGUGUGUAGGUGUGUGUAGGUGUGUGUGUGUAGGUGUGUGUGUGUGUAGGUGUGUGUGUGUGUGUAGGUGUGUGUGUGUAGGUGUGUGUGUGUAGGUGUGUGUGUGUAGGUGUGUGUGUGUGUGUGUGUGUAGGUGUGUGUGUGUGUAGGUGUGUGUGUGUAGGUGUGUGUGUGUGUGUGUGUGAGUGUAGGUGUGUGUGUGUGUGUGUGUGUGUGUGUGUGUGUGUGUGUGUAGGUGUGUGUGUGUGUAGGUGUGUGUGUGUGUAGGUGUGUGUGUGUGUAGGUGUGUGUGUG